GUAUUACCGGUUAUCCAUCUAUAGUUCCUUUAGGCAUUGUACGAAUGUUCUCAUCUUCAAGGAGAAUUCAAAUCAGAGGUCAUCGGCAAUGCUAGACCAGGUCACUCAGCGCGGGAUUGUAUUGUGGGGCUCCCAACCUUUGGUUUUGUCAUGUUAGGCACAAUUCAGUUGCUUUUCUAUUCCCCCAAUUUCGUCGUCCUGUGCUCUACAAUUCAAUAAAACAGUCAGUCAACAAGCAAUUGUUUAUUUGGACUGCUUCCUGUCCGGCUGUGAUACAAAUAAGAAGACUAAAGCAAUCCCUAGUGAAGGUGAUUAGGAGAGGGUGGGAGAAGAGAAUAAUUUGGGACUUUGCAGUGUCAACAUGUGCUGCUAAGUUUUUCUUUAAAAUGCAUUUCUCUUUCAUUUCAGUGGUUAAACUCUGCCCUUAAUAUACUGACAUUAAAAUAAACAAGCACCCUUGCCAAAUCAGUUCAUGCAGACCAAGAUCCAGAUGGCCCCCGAGCAAGAAAAGUUGUGCUGCACCCAAAGCACCCAGCCAAGUGCAGGGAAACAGUCUCCUGGCCGGCGGGCAGGAGACAGACAGAGGCAGGCCACUAUUCCUGGCCUCUUCUAGAAACUCACACUUUAGGCGAUGCAACCCAAGAGCCCUGGGAGAUCCCACGGAAGAGCAGAGGCAGAAGUCCUGGUCAGGCUGCAGUGAAGCCUCCAUCACGACAUCCCCGUAUCCUCCCAGAGCAACCCCAACGGAUGUGACUGCACUUCAGCGUUGGCUUCUUUGGGAGCUCCUGCAGACAAAGUUGGCGAGAGAACCGGAAUUGCUUGAUUCUCAACAUGUAAGUAAUUAUCAUCCUGCUUUCAGUUCUGUUCAAAGGGAAAGGCACGCCCCUCCUAUUUUAGAAGUGUACACUAUGGACAGCUCAACUCUAUGGGCUAUAGAAAGUUUCUUAUCUUUUAGCCCUACAGAAAACAUCCCUCUUCCAACGCAAGUCUUGCUCUUCACCGAGGCACUCGUUUCACCAUAAAGGAGAUCGGAAACUAAACCAUUUCCCGGGUUUUACAUUGCUUCUCUUAAGCUGAGUUGCCCCACAAUAUUGAGCGCCAGAAAGGGUCCAUUUCUGGACUGGGUUUCCCCUCUCCUAGCACCCACGUCUGUAAAGAAUCAGAAGC
rnacentral:lncRNA from 1 species